UACGAAGGGUGCAAGCGUUACUCGGAAUUACUGGGCGUAAAGCGUGCGUAGGUGGUUCGUUAAGUCUGAUGUGAAAGCCCUGGGCUCAACCUGGGAAUGGCAUUGGAAACUGGCGACCUAGAGUGCGGUAGAGGGUAGUGGAAUUCCCGGUGUAGCAGUGAAAUGCGUAGAGAUCGGGAGGAACAUCCGUGGCGAAGGCGACUACCUGGACCAGCACUGACGCUGAGGAGCGAAAGCCAGGGGAGCAAACGGG
rnacentral:rRNA from 1 species